CGGAGGGAUCAUUAAAGAGUUCUAUAACUCCCAAACCCAUGUGAACAUACCUAACGUUGCCUCGGCAGGUCGCACCUACCUUGUAGCACCCUACCCUGUAGGGCCUACCCGGGAGGUGCGGGUAAGCCUGCCGGCGGCCCACCAAACUCUGUUUGAUAUUGAAUUCUGAACCUAUAACUAAAUAAGUUAAAACUUUCAACAACGGAUCUCUUGGUUCUGGCAUCGAUGAAGAACGCAGCGAAAUGCGAUAAGUAAUGUGAAUUGCAGAAUUCAGUGAAUCAUCGAAUCUUUGAACGCAUAUUGCGCCCAUUAGUAUUCUAGUGGGCAGGACCGUUCGAGCGUCAUUUCAACCCUUAAGCCUUCGUUGCUUAGUGUUGGGAGCCUACGGCAACGUAGCUCCUCAAAGUUAGUGGCGGAGUUGGUUCACACUCUAGACGUAGUAAUUUUUUAUCUCGCCUAUUAGUUGGACUAAUCCCCUGCCGUAAAACCCCCAAUUUAUCAAGGUUGACCUCGAAUCGGUUCAGACAAACUCGCUAAAUUGAAGCAUCUUAGUCAGCGAAGGAAAAGAAACCAACAGGGAUUGCCCUAGUAACGGCGAGUGAAGCGGCAACAGCUCAAAUUUGAAAUCUGGCCCUCG
rnacentral:rRNA from 1 species